rnacentral:tRNA from 1 species
GCCUUCGUAGUGUAACGGUAGCACACUUGCGCUUAUCUGAGAGCUCCAGGUUCAAGUCCUGGCGAGGGCA